GACGAACGCUGGCGGCGUGCUUAACACAUGCAAGUCGAACGGAAAGGCCCCUUUGGGGGUACUCGCGUGGCGAACGGGUGAGUAACACGUGAGUAACCUGCCCUUGACUUCGGGAUAACUUCAGGCAACUAGGGCUAAUACCGGAUAGGAAUCAUUGCUGCCUGCUUGGGGUUGGAAAGCUUCGGCGGUUUUGGAUGGACUCGCGGCUUAUCAGCUUGUUUGUGGGGUGGUGGCUUACCAAGGCUUUGACGGGUAGCCGGCCUGCGAGGGCUACCGGCCACAUUUGGACUGGGAUACGGGCCAGACUCCUACGGGAGGCAGCAGUGGGGAAUAUUGCAAAAUGGGCGGGAGCCUGAUGCAGCAACGCCGGGUGCGGGAUGACGGCCUUCGGGUUGUAAACCGCUUUCAGCAGGUGCGAAGCUUGGGGUGACGGUAACUGCAGAAGAAGCACCGGCUAACUACGUG
rnacentral:rRNA from 1 species